AGAAGUUAAUGUCCGAAUUAAAAAUGGUAUUAUUGGUGGAAGCUGGAAGCUAACCUUUGCUACUUUCUGUAACAUUAACGUUAGCAUAAAUUAGCCAGUGCUAGCUUUAUUUUUUUACACCUGAAAGGGGUUUGAAAAAUAAAUUCACUGAGAAACGUUUGGACAAUUAGUGAAAACGACUUGUAAUGACAGAGUGAAAUACCAAUUUAACCUAUCUCCCGGCCAUAUUUGGUAGUAUAUUUGCCUCUGGCAUGUAGAUUGAUAGGCAUAGAUAGAAGCUAACUUAUGAUUUGUCAUGCAAGACAGAGAAUGGAACGGUUAACAUUACUAGCCUAAGGUGUAGACAUUCUAUGCACUGUGGUUUAGCUAGUUAGCUGCUAUUGUUGCAUCAAGGACAACACUUAGAGCUAACAUUAGCUUUUUUUUUUUUUUAGAUAGGAUGUAAUGUGGUAACGUUAUGUGCUGGAGAGUAUUAGAGUGGACGUGUAGAAAUUGAAGACACUUGUACUGUGCUUAAUUUCAUGGAAAUGGUAUUGCAAGGAAUGUGUUUUGUUUUUGUGCACUAUCAAACUACUUUGUCAUGCUUUGUGCACUGACAUUCUUGCAAAACCAUUCACACCCAUGCUAAAUUAUGGAAAUGUAAAAGUUGAAUUGUAUUGAAAAGGACCAUGUAUGGUCAUGUAGUGCAUUUGAGCACUGACACCCCUUUUUUUACAUUUUAGAGAGGCAACACUCGAAAGCUACAUCAAGGACACCAGAGGAUGGACCAGAAGACCUGAGACCAAGACGACCCAAGCCCAACCCAUAGUAUGCUUCACUGACAAAUGUUGAUGCUUCAUCAUCACAUAGACCAAAGGUUUCAGAGAAGGCUGGUAGAGCUUUCUAUGAGUGUGAGCUGUGGGAGAUAACCAAGAACUGACAACCACCUACAGAAGAGGUGGCGAUAAUGGCUCUCCAAGAGGAGGAGGCACUUAGAGGGAAUGCCUGGACCCUGAGAGGACUAAGACGAUCAUUGAGGCCACCCUGAAGCAGUUCCCAGGCCAGACACUCACUCCAGAUUGCUGGGCCAGGCAAUAAAUGCCAAAGUGACAGAACUGAGGUUCCAUAACAAAAACAAAGAUUUCAAUAAAAUAGAAUAAAAGAUAA